CCUUUUCCUUCUAUCUAAAGUCCAGUCUUGCGGUGAAUAUCCCUAGAUAGUUUUCCCAAACGAACAUUGAUUUUUCCGAGUGUGCUAAGCUUGACUUGUGCAAAUAUUCGACCGGCAGUCAUUAGUAAAAUUUUGACGGCAACUCAAUUCCGAAGGGGAUUAGGAUGCUGGACGAGCAGUUUGGAUCAAGUUGAGCGAGCUCCUGGCAUCUGGAUACUUGGCUCGCCUGGUGUUGGUUUGUUUAUGAAGCCAUAUGUUGCGAUAUCGAUGGCAGCAACUUCGGCAGUGUCAGCCAUACAAAUGAGUCCCAGAAGAGCGUUUUUUGGGCCAUAACGGGAAGAUCAAUACGGUUGGCAGGAGUGUGGGAGGAAUGUUAAUCAUGAAUCACUUCAUUAAUCAUUCCUGUGAGUGCUGCUACCGAGCAACUUGUACAUAUGAGACUUCAAAUCAAGUACACUUUGCAAUGGUUUCGGCUUCUGCCUUGUAAAUCCCCUGACAGAACUGAGGAUAAGUUCCUAUUCCCCUUGAUGUGACUACUUGACCCUGACAUCCGGAAGGAAUUCGUUUCCCACUGCUGGGGGGAUAAGGAUAACUUCAAUCGGGACCUCGCUCGGAGCUGCAAAUCUCAUUAAAGCCAACGAAGCAUGUUCACUCCCCAGGGGCCAAAUCGGAG